UAGCUCAGCAGGUUAGAGCACAGUGCUGGUAAUGCUGAGGUCAUCGGUUCAAACCCCAU
rnacentral:tRNA from 1 species